rnacentral:rRNA from 1 species
AUGACGCAUAGAAUGGUCAAUUGCUUGUUAAGGAAAGAAGAGAAGAGCAGUCAGUCGCCACUCGCCACUGAGCUCUGCCGUCAGCACGGGAAUCGAGAAAAACAACGGAAGCCGGUGGCAGCUACAGAAUUGGCGACACAUGCGCACAUCCCAGGAGACAGACAGACGGCUGAUUUGAUCUCCAUGAAAACAUCUCCCGAAUUACUACUGCAACAAAUCAUCGUACUACUACUACUACCACGUACACUACACACAUCAAUCGGAAGCAACGGCGAGGGGAUCCGGUCAGACGGCGACCUCGAUUCGCGGCUCGAAGGAGAAGGCGGCCACGAAGUCCAUGGCCUCGCCGUCGCCGCCGGCGCACCGCGGCAGCUCCUCCCACGCGUUGCUCCCCACGUCGCACAUGAAGCACCCGUUGGCGCCCGCGUCGCCGGAGCUGACGCACACCAUCACGCGCCCGCCGUGCCCCACGCAGUUCACGUCCGCCUUCUUGCCGUAGAAGGCGUGCGACAUGGCCGGGGGCAUCGCGGCCACCUGCCGCCACGCGCCGUCCGAGAACUCCCAGAGGCGCAGGCUCGCCGUGUCCAGGUACUCCGAGAGGACCACCACGUAGGCCCGGCCGUCGCACGCCACAACGUCGAUAGAGUACUCGAAGUGCACCGGCAGGAUCCGCGGGAGCUCGGUGAACACGCGGCGCGCCAGGUCGCACGCCACGACCGCGCCCGAGUGGCUCAGGAAGUAGGCCACGGCCUCGCCGCCGUCGCUGCGGCACGUCACGGCGGACGAGUACUGCCUCGCCGCGCUGCGCUGCGUGCUGGACACCAUCACGUCGCCGGACUUGCUCAGGUAAUAGACCGCGCCGUCGCCUUCGCCGUCCAUGUCCUCGUCAAUGUCGUCGUCGUCGUGUCGCGCUUGCGCGUCCGCGGGCGAGGCCUCUGUCUUCCGCGACAGAGGCACCGCGUCCUCCCACGCGUUCUUGGACGAGUCGAACACCGUCAUGGACAGGUUUGGAAGCUCGCCCAGGAUGAGGACCACGCGGUAGGGUGA